rfam:Pteropus alecto contig9361, whole genome shotgun sequence.
GGCUCCAUAGUGUAGUGGUUAGCACAUCUGCUUUACAUACAGAAGGUCCUGGGUUCGUGCCCCAGGUGGAGCCA